AGUGAACGCUGGCGGUAGGCCUAACACAUGCAAGUCGAACGGCAGCACAGUAAUAGCUUGCUCUUACGGGUGGCGAGUGGCGGACGGGUGAGGAAUACAUCGGAAUCUACUUUUUCGUGGGGGAUAACGUAGGGAAACUUACGCUAAUACCGCAUACGACCUACGGGUGAAAGCAUGGGAUCUUCGGACCUUGCGCGAUUGAAUGAGCCGAUGUCGGAUUAGCUAGUUGGCGGGGGAAAGGCCCACCAAGGCGACGAUCCGUAGCUGGUCUGAGAGGAUGAUCCGCCACACUGGAACUGAGAUACGGUCCAGACUCCUACGGGAGGCAGCAGUGGGGAAUAUUGGACAAUGGGCGCAAGCCUGAUCCAGCCAUACCGCGUGGGUGAAGAAGGCCUUCGGGUUGUAAAGCUCUUUUGUUGGGAAAGAAAAGCAGCAGGUUAAUACCCCGCUGUUCUGACGGUACCCAAAGAAUAAGCACCGGCUAACUUCGUG
rnacentral:rRNA from 1 species